rnacentral:rRNA from 1 species
UACAGAGGGUGCAAGCGUUAAUCGGAGUUACUGGGCGUAAAGGGCGCGUAGGCGGAUAUUUUAGUCGGUUGUGAAAUCCCUGGGCUUAACCUAGGAAUUGCAUUCGAUACUGAAUAUCUUGAGUAUGAUAGAGGAAAGCGGAAUUCUCGGUGUAGUGGUAAAAUACGUAGAUAUCGAGAAGAACACCGGUGGCGAAGGCGGCUUUCUGGAUCAAUACUGACGCUGAGGCGCGAAAGCGUGGGGAGCAAACAGG